rnacentral:miRNA from 18 species
ACAUCCCAACUGGGCACACUGUU